UUAAACAGGAUGGAUACUCUAGAUUUAGACAGGAUGGGUACUCUAGAUAUAAACAGGACCGGUACUCUAGAU